rnacentral:rRNA from 1 species
CUUCGGAUAUGAGUGGCGAACGGGUGAGUAAUACAUAAGUAACCUGGCCUUAAGAGGGGGAUAACUAUUAGAAAUGAUAGCUAAGACCGCAUAGGUAUGAAGAUCGCAUGAUCGACAUAUUAAAUAUCCCACGGGAUAGCUAAAGGAUGGACUUAUGGCGCAUUAGCUAGUUGGUAGGGUAACGGCCUACCAAGGCGACGAUGCGUAGCCGACCUGAGAGGGUGGACGGCCACACUGGGACUGAGACACGGCCCAGACUCCUACGGGAGGCAGCAGUAGGGAAUUUUCGGCAAUGGGGGGAACCCUGACCGAGCAACGCCGCGUGAGGGAGGAAGUAUUUCGGUAUGUAAACCUCUGUUAUAAAGGAAGAACGAUGCAUGUAGGGAAUGACAUGCAAGUGACGGUACUUUAUGAGGAAGCCACGGCUAACUACGUGCCAGCAGCCGCGGUAAUACGUAGGUGGCGAGCGUUAUCCGGAAUUAUUGGGCGUAAAGAGGGAGCAGGCGGCAGCUAAGGUCUGCGGUGAAAGCCCGAAGCUAAACUUCGGUAAGCCGUGGAAACCGAGCAGCUAGAGUGCAGUAGAGGAUCGUGGAAUUCCAUGUGUAGCGGUGAAAUGCGUAGAUAUAUGGAGGAACACCAGUGGCGAAGGCGACGAUCUGGGCUGCAACUGACGCUCAGUCCCGAAAGCGUGGGGAGCAAAUAGGAUUAGAUACCCUAGUAGUCCACGCCGUANACGAUGAGUACUAAGUGUUGGGGGUCAAACCUCNGUGCUGCAGUUAACGCAAUAAGUACUCCGCCUGAGUAGUACGUUCGCAAGAAUGAAACUCAAAGGAAUUGACGGGGGCCCGCACAAGCGGUGGAGCACGUGGUUUAAUU